rnacentral:rRNA from 1 species
ACGCGGAAAGGACUUCGGUCCCGAUUAGAGUGGCGCACGGGUGAGUAACACGUGGAUAACCUACCCUGGGGUCCGGGAUAACAUUCCGAAAGGGAUGCUAAUACCGGAUAAGCUCACGACUUCUAUGGAAGAUGUGAGAAAAGAUUGAUUGCCUUAGGAUGGGUCCGCGGUCCAUUAGCUAGUUGGUGGGGUAACGGCCUACCAAGGCCGCGAUGGAUAGCUGGUCUGAAAGGAUGAUCAGCCACACUGGAACUGAAACACGGUCCAAACUCCUACGGGAGGCAGCAGUGGGGAAUUUUGCGCAAUGGGCGAAAGCCUGACGCACCAAUACCGCGUGAAGGAUGAAGGCCCUUGGGUCGUAAACUUCUGUCAAAGGGGAAAAAAUACCCGUAAGGGAGCUGACGGUACCUUCAAAGGAAGCACCGGCUAACUCCGUGCCAGCAGCCGCGGUAAUACGGAGGGUGCAAGCGUUGUUCGGAAUUAUUGGGCGUAAAGAGCAUGUAGGCGGAUUGUUAAGUCUGGUGUGAAAGCCCGGGGCUCACCCCCGGAAGUGCAUUGGAUACUGGCAGUCUUGAGUAUGGGAGAGGAAAGUGGAAUUCCGAGUGUAGGAGUGAAAUCCGUAGAUAUUCGGAGGAACACCAGUGGGCGAAGGCGGCUUUCUGGACCAAUACUGACGCUGAGAUGCGAAAGCGUGGGGAGCGAACAGGAUUAGAUA